AACAGGAUUAGAUACCCUGGUAGUCCACGCCGUAAACGAUGUCGACUUGGAGGUUGUGCCCUUGAGGCGUGGCUUCCGGAGCUAACGCGUUAAGUCGACCGCCUGGGGAGUACGGCCGCAAGGUUAAAACUCAAAUGAAUUGACGGGGGCCCGCACAAGCGGUGGAGCAUGUGGUUUAAUUCGAUGCAACGCGAAGAACCUUACCUGGCCUUGACAUCCAGAGAACUUAGCAGAGAUGCUUUGGUGCCUUCGGGAACUCUGAGACAGGUGCUGCAUGGCUGUCGUCAGCUCGUGUUGUGAAAUGUCGGGUUAAGUCCCGCAACGAGCGCAACCCUUAUCCUUUGUUGCCAGCGGUUCGGCCGGGAACUCAAAGGAGACUGCCAGUGAUAAACUGGAGGAAGGUGGGGAUGACGUCAAGUCAUCAUGGCCCUUACGAGUAGGGCUACACACGUGCUACAAUGGCGCAUACAAAGAGAAGCGACCUCGCGAGAGCAAGCGGACCUCAUAAAGUGCGUCGUAGUCCGGAUCGGAGUCUGCAACUCGACUCCGUGAAGUCGGAAUCGCUAGUAAUCGUAGAUCAGAAUGCUACGGUGAAUACGUUCCCGGGCCUUGUACACACCGCCCGUCACACCAUGGGAGUGGGUUGCAAAAGAAGUAGAUAGCUUAACCUUCGGGAGGGCGUUUACCACUUUGUGAUUCAUGACUGGGGUGAAGUCGUAACAAGGUAACC
rnacentral:rRNA from 1 species